UACUUACUCAUACAUCGACAAGAUAGAGAUCAAUAAAACAUGUAUAUAUACAUAUAUGUAUACAUGUAUAGGAAUAUUAUAUAUGUAUAUCACGAUGUAUCACAGUGAUCGUCAGUUUGCAAGGCAAUACUAUGUAUCGAAUAUAUCGAAUCGAUUAAUAUCGAAUAUCUCAAGCAUGAAUCGAUAAUUUCAAUUUUAUUUUGCAUGCCGUUAUAUGUAUGAAUGAAAGGAAUUAGUUUAUAUAAUUGUGGACAGUUACCUUUCGAUUAACUCUAAGGAUAAAAGAUUUCUUGACAAUCUUGAACAUUGACAUAUACAAGCGUAGAAAUGAAACUGUCUUAAUGGUUCUGACAAUUGUUUAUCGAUCUAUUGAAUUAUGUAAUCGGUAAGGGAUAAUCGAUUAUAUUAAUUAAUCGACAUCUUCCAGUCACUCUGGUACUUCUCUCAUGAAAAUGUUCAUACUUCCAUAAUCAAUCCGUAACCAAAGAUGACACAAAUAUCCUUUGACCAGAUGUCGACGCUUAAAACGAACAGAAACGAUCGACGCAAAAGGAGAACAUUUUUUAAUACACCGAAGAUUUUCUACAUCCACUUGAACACGUUAUUUUUCUCUCUGAUUUUCUUUAAGCAAGAGUAAGGAAAAAAGGUCUAUAGAUGGAAGAAGAGAAAGAAGAGAAAUAUAACAUUGAGGAUAGAAAGAAGUGAAAGAAGAAGAGGAAAGAGAGGAGGUCGUAUUCGACUCUUGAUCCACCGAUUACUAGUUAUUUUACUCUGUUUAAAAUCGGCAAUCCCAGCAAUAUGCAUAUAAACUCAGUCCCUACUAACACAAGUCAGUGACAGAGAUGGUAAACGCGCGAGCAGCCACAUAUUUCUACUUUGUUCUUGUUUCUUUUUUUCUUUUUUCAUUUUUUAGCCAAGCGCUGUAGUUAUAUUCCUGGCUGAUUAUCGCAUUACUUUAUUAUCUAUCACUACUGCUUAUUACUACUAUCGUUAUCCACGUUAUUGACAAGAAAUUCGCUUCCAGUGAUAGGGACCUAAGUUUAGUUUUAAAUCUUGAGAAGAGGUGAACGUGAAACUCACUGAUCUCAAAUUAUCUUCUUCUUUGGUUUCUUUUUAAAAUUUACCUUCGAAAUUAACCUUCUUAUUAUUUAAGCGCUAAAUAUAUAUAUUCCGUGUAUUAUAUUUAUUUCUCAUUUAAAUGUAAGUUAAUAAAAAUACAAUAUACAUAUGAAAAUGCAAAGUUACGUUAAGGGAUGCACUUACCGGCUCGUGAAGAAGCUCGUGUUUCACUAAGGAAAAGCAGAAAAAAUAUGUUAGCAAAAAAGUUGCUGAGUUCUUUAUAAAAUUGUAGAAACAUCUCUAGUAAUAUUGAACACAUUAUCUUUUGUUACAUUAAAUGAGAUAAUAUGGUAUUUCGCUGCAUAUCGAUUUCUCAUUUCUCUUUCGAGCACAAUCAAACAAAAUUUAUAAAAUGAUCUUUAAAAAGAAGAUAUUGGUAUCGAAAUAUAUUUUACGGGACUAAGAAAAGAUGACGU